CACAAUCACCGGAGCGGACCGAAAAUUGGCCCAACCUGGGUUCCUACACGGACUAUUUUGGUCGUAGCACGAGUUAAAUGUAUCUUGAACUUCCAGAGUUGACUUUCUCGAGUUAUUCAGGUUAAACUAUUUUAAUUACAAUGUCUAAUAUCACCAAUUUAUCCCGUGUCGUCCACGCAUUGAGGGUCCAACGGCUGACAAAUUUUUUUUGCUUGAAAACACCCGCUUUUGCUUGCAACUUGGCGAGAUUUCUGCACUCGAACUACUCGUCCAGCAGAACUUUCCCAAAGCAUCGAUUUGAAUGCGCGACACAUUACACCCCUUCAGCAAAGAAGGACACCGUUAGGAUAGGAUGCGCGUCCGGGUUUUGGGGAGAUACGGCGGCCUCAGUCCCCCAGCUGAUAUACAGUGGGCAGAUAGACUACCUGGUGUUUGACUACCUCAGUGAGAUCACCAUGUCUCUCCUCACCGUGGCUAAGUCCAAGAUGCCUAAUAUGGGUUAUGCCCCUGACUUUGUCCAAAUAGCUAUAGCUCCCUUUAUACAUGACAUCCAUAAGAAAGGUAUCCGGGUGGU